UCUUUUGGUCCUCUAAUAUUUUGGGGGUUGGCCCUUGGCUUGUGACUUCAUAAAUACAUCUUCAUUUUUCUAUAAUUUAAACUAACAGGACAACAUUUUCUGGGCAAAAAGAAAAAUUCUGCUGGGAUGGAUACUUUGGGAGAUGGGAAUUCUUUCUUACUGCCCCUGUGGCUCAGCAUGGCCAGCCGACCCAGAAAGAUUUCUCUGAAGAAUGUGGAGCUUCACUAGCCUUUUGGAAAUGUGUCUGAACUAUUUCUGUCUCCAUCUGCUUUGUUUUUA
rnacentral:lncRNA from 1 species